CGUUCGGCGGAAGCGUCGUUCG
rnacentral:sRNA from 1 species